rnacentral:rRNA from 1 species
GGGUUGUGAGGUUAAGCGACUAAGCGUACACGGUGGAUGCCCUGGCAGUCAGAGGCGAUGAAGGACGUGCUAAUCUGCGAAAAGCGUCGGUAAGGUGAUAUGAACCGUUACAGCCGGCGAUGUCCGAAUGGGGAAACCCAGUGUGAUUCGUCACACUAUCGUUAACUGAAUACAUAGGUUAACGAGGCGAACCGGGGGAACUGAAACAUCUAAGUACCCCGAGGAAAAGAAAUCAACCGAGAUUCCCCCAGUAGCGGCGAGCGAACGGGGAGCAGCCCAGAGUCUGAAUCAGCUUGUGUGUUAGUGGAACGGUCUGGAAAGUCCGACGGUACAGGGUGAUAGUCCCGUACACCAAAAUGCACAGGUUGUGAACUCGAAGAGUAGGGCGGGACACGUGGUAUCCUGUCUGAAUAUGGGGGGACCAUCCUCCAAGGCUAAAUACUCCUGACUGACCGAUAGUGAACCAGUACCGUGAGGGAAAGGCGAAAAGAACCCCGGCGAGGGGAGUGAAAAAGAACCUGAAACCGUGUACGUACAAGCAGUGGGAGCACCUUCGGGUGUGACUGCGUACCUUUUGUAUAAUGGGUCAGCGACUUAUAUUCUGUAGCAAGGUUAACCGUAUAGGGGAGCCGCAGGGAAACCGAGUCUUAACUGGGCGUUAAGUUGCAGGGUAUAGACCCGAAACCCGGUGAUCUAGCCAUGGGCAGGUUGAAGGUUGGGUAACACUAACUGGAGGACCGAACCGACUAAUGUUGAAAAAUUAGCGGAUGACUUGUGGCUGGGGGUGAAAGGCCAAUCAAACCGGGAGAUAGCUGGUUCUCCCCGAAAGCUAUUUAGGUAGCGCCUCGUGAAUUCAUCUUCGGGGGUAGAGCACUGUUUCGGCUAGGGGGUCAUCCCGACUUACCAACCCGAUGCAAACUACGAAUACCGAAGAAUGUUAUCACGGGAGACACACGGCGGGUGCUAACGUCCGUCGUGAAGAGGGAAACAACCCAGACCGCCAGCUAAGGUCCCAAAGUCACAGUUAAGUGGGAAACGAUGUGGGAAGGCACAGACAGCCAGGAUGUUGGCUUAGAAGCAGCCAUCAUUUAAAGAAAGCGUAAUAGCUCACUGGUCGAGUCGGCCUGCGCGGAAGAUGUAACGGGGCUAAACUGUGCACCGAAGCUGCGGCAGCGACACUAUGUGUUGUUGGGUAGGGGAGCGUUCUGUAAGCCUGCGAAGGUGGCCUGUGAGGGUUGCUGGAGGUAUCAGAAGUGCGAAUGCUGACAUAAGUAACGAUAAUGCGGGUGAAAAGCCCGCACGCCGGAAGACCAAGGGUUCCUGUCCAACGUUAAUCGGGGCAGGGUGAGUCGACCCCUAAGGCGAGGCCGAAAGGCGUAGUCGAUGGGAAACAGGUUAAUAUUCCUGUACUUGGUGUUACUGCGAAGGGGGGACGGAGAAGGCUAUGUUAGCCGGGCGACGGUUGUCCCGGUUUAAGCAUGUAGGCGGAGGUUCCAGGUAAAUCCGGUACCUUUUAACGCUGAGGUGUGAUGACGAGGCACUACGGUGCUGAAGUAACAAAUGCCCUGCUUCCAGGAAAAGCCUCUAAGCAUCAGGUAACAUUAAAUCGUACCCCAAACCGACACAGGUGGUCAGGUAGAGAAUACCAAGGCGCUUGAGAGAACUCGGGUGAAGGAACUAGGCAAAAUGGUGCCGUAACUUCGGGAGAAGGCACGCUGAUAUGUAGGUGAAGCCCCUGCGGGUGGAGCUGAAAUCAGUCGAAGAUACCAGCUGGCUGCAACUGUUUAUUAAAAACACAGCACUGUGCAAACACGAAAGUGGACGUAUACGGUGUGACGCCUGCCCGGUGCCGGAAGGUUAAUUGAUGGGGUUAUCCGUAAGGAGAAGCUCUUGAUCGAAGCCCCGGUAAACGGCGGCCGUAACUAUAACGGUCCUAAGGUAGCGAAAUUCCUUGUCGGGUAAGUUCCGACCUGCACGAAUGGCGUAAUGAUGGCCAGGCUGUCUCCACCCGAGACUCAGUGAAAUUGAACUCGCUGUGAAGAUGCAGUGUACCCGCGGCAAGACGGAAAGACCCCGUGAACCUUUACUAUAGCUUGACACUGAACAUUGAGCCUUGAUGUGUAGGAUAGGUGGGAGGCUUUGAAGCGUGGACGCCAGUCUGCGUGGAGCCAACCUUGAAAUACCACCCUUUAAUGUUUGAUGUUCUAACGUUGGCCCCUAAUCGGGGUUGCGGACAGUGUCUGGUGGGUAGUUUGACUGGGGCGGUCUCCUCCCAAAGAGUAACGGAGGAGCACGAAGGUUAGCUAAUCCUGGUCGGACAUCAGGAGGUUAGUGCAAUGGCAUAAGCUAGCUUGACUGCGAGCGUGACGGCGCGAGCAGGUGCGAAAGCAGGUCAUAGUGAUCCGGUGGUUCUGAAUGGAAGGGCCAUCGCUCAACGGAUAAAAGGUACUCCGGGGAUAACAGGCUGAUACCGCCCAAGAGUUCAUAUCGACGGCGGUGUUUGGCACCUCGAUGUCGGCUCAUCACAUCCUGGGGCUGAAGUAGGUCCCAAGGGUAUGGCUGUUCGCCAUUUAAAGUGGUACGCGAGCUGGGUUUAGAACGUCGUGAGACAGUUCGGUCCCUAUCUGCCGUGGGCGCUGGAGAAUUGAGGGGGGCUGCUCCUAGUACGAGAGGACCGGAGUGGACGCAUCACUGGUGUUCGGGUUGUCAUGCCAAUGGCAUUGCCCGGUAGCUAAAUGCGGAAGAGAUAAGUGCUGAAAGCAUCUAAGCACGAAACUUGCCCCGAGAUGAGUUCUCCCUGAGACUUUAAGUCUCCUGAAGGAACGUUAAAGACGAUGACGUUGAUAGGUCGGGUGUGUAAGCGUAGCGAUACGUUGAGCUAACCGAUACUAAUGAACCGUGAGGCUUAACCUUACAACGCCGAAGGUGUUU